rnacentral:rRNA from 1 species
GACGAACGCUGGCGGCGUGCUUAACACAUGCAAGUCGAACGGAAAGGCCCUGCUUUUGCGGGGUGCUCGAGUGGCGAACGGGUGUGUAACACGUGAGUAACCUGCCCUUGACUUUGGGAUAACUUCAGGAAACUGGGGCUAAUACCGGAUAGGAGCUCCUGCUGCAUGGUGGGGGUUGGAAAGUUUCGGCGGUUGGGGAUGGACUCGCGGCUUAUGAGCUUGUUGGUGGAGUAAUGGCUUACCAAGGCUUUGACGGGUAGCCGGCCUGAGAGGGUGACCAGCGUCAUUGGGCCUGAGAUACGGACCAGUAUCGUACGGGAGGCAACAGGCGGGAGCAUUGCACAAUGGGGGGAAGCCUGAUGCGGCAACCCUGCGUGCGGGAUGACGGCCUUCGGGUUAUGAACCGCUUUCGCCUGUGACGAAGCGUGCGUGACGGUAAUGGGUAAAGAAGCACCGGCUAACUACGUG